GGAGGGUAUAGCUCAGUGGUAGAGUGUGUGGUUCAGCAUGCACAAGGUCCUGGGUUCAAUCCCCAGUACCUCCA